GCUUGUCUCAAAGAUUAAGCCAUGCAUGUCUCAGUACAAGCCAAAUUAAGGUGAAACCGCGAAAGGCUCAUUAAAUCAGUUAUGGUUCCUUAGAUCGUACCCACAAUUACUUGGAUAACUGUGGUAAUUCUAGAGCUAAUACAUGCAAACAGAGCUCCGACCGGAGACGGAAGGAGUGCUUUUAUUAGAUCAAAACCAAUCGGUGGCGGGCUCGCUCGUCAUCGUACAACUUGGUGACUCUGAAUAACUUUACGCUGAUCGCACGGUCUAAGCACCGGCGACGCAUCUUUCAAAUGUCUGCCUUAUCAACUGUCGAUGGUAGGUUCUGCGCCUACCAUGGUUGUAACGGGUAACGGGGAAUCAGGGUUCGAUUCCGGAGAGGGAGCCUGARAAACGGCUACCACAUCCAAGGAAGGCAGCAGGCGCGCAAAUUACCCACUCCCGGCACGGGGAGGUAGUGACRAAAAAUAACGAUACGGGACUCAUCCGAGGCCCCGUAAUCRGAAUGAGUACACUCUAAACCCUUUAACGAGGAUCAAUUGGAGGGCAAGUCUGGUGCC
rnacentral:rRNA from 1 species